rnacentral:rRNA from 1 species
AAGUCGAACGCUUCUUUCCUCCCGAGUGCUUGCACUCAAUUGGAAAGAGGAGUGGCGGACGGGUGAGUAACACGUGGGUAACCUACCCAUCAGAGGGGGAUAACACUUGGAAACAGGUGCUAAUACCGCAUAACAGUUUAUGCCGCAUGGCAUAAGAGUGAAAGGCGCUUUCGGGUGUCGCUGAUGGAUGGACCCGCGGUGCAUUAGCUAGUUGGUGAGGUAACGGCUCACCAAGGCCACGAUGCAUAGCCGACCUGAGAGGGUGAUCGGCCACACUGGGACUGAGACACGGCCCAGACUCCUACGGGAGGCAGCAGUAGGGAAUCUUCGGCAAUGGACGAAAGUCUGACCGAGCAACGCCGCGUGAGUGAAGAAGGUUUUCGGAUCGUAAAACUCUGUUGUUAGAGAAGAACAAGGACGUUAGUAACUGAACGUCCCCUGACGGUAUCUAACCAGAAAGCCACGGCUAACUACGUGCCAGCAGCCGCGGUAAUACGUAGGUGGCAAGCGUUGUCCGGAUUUAUUGGGCGUAAAGCGAGCGCAGGCGGUUUCUUAAGUCUGAUGUGAAAGCCCCCGGCUCAACCGGGGAGGGUCAUUGGAAACUGGGAGACUUGAGUGCAGAAGAGGAGAGUGGAAUUCCAUGUGUAGCGGUGAAAUGCGUAGAUAUAUGGAGGAACACCAGUGGCGAAGGCGGCUCUCUGGUCUGUAACUGACGCUGAGGCUCGAAAGCGUGGGGGAGCAAACAGGAUUAGAUACCCUGGAUAGUCCACGCCGUAAACGAUGAGGUGCUAAGUGUUGGAGGGUUUC